UAAAAAUAUGCACUCGUUAACGAUCACAAAAUGACGUCACCGUCUCAUCACUCCGUAUCCAAUGAACGCGCUCCAUUUCAAAGAGUCGACCUAGAUUGCACGCGCAGUGUCACGCCCUCACUCUGUCAGGAGAACGCCAGGAGCCCUAUGUUUGUGUUUCAUUAGCACAUUAGCAUAUUAUCCAGCUGUCCCGUUGCCUUGAAAACGGUUAGGUUUCUCUUGUCCCAUGUUUAGGGGACGCUGUUAGGUCGCUUUGCACAGACUCCUACAGGAUGUGGAUGUACAGAGUCGCUGGUUAGAAUUAAUUUUAAAACCAUAUCAAACCAGUUCAACUCUGACCUUCGUUUGUGUUCCCGCCAUUUCACCGACACUGCUGCUCAAAUCUAGCUGAAGUCAACGCGGGAUUUGUGAAACGAUUAUUCAUUAAACAUGGGGCCAUACCCACUUUAUCUGGACCUCUGGAUCACACCCUGGCGACGGCGAAUAAAAAGGCAACGAGAAGCAGAACUAGAACCACAGACACUGCGAUGAUGGCAGUGGAAGUCGGAAAUUCUGGAAGGGAAACACAAUCAUAACAUCAGUGAUGGUGACGGUGAAGACUUUGGCUGUUGUGUCGUCAUACAGAGAGAAUCUGGUGUCUUUAGCCGGAGAUCCAGAACGAACAGGAACAUCAUUAUACCCCACACGGGGACAUUUACCUCUGCAGAGAUACUUCUUGUAUUCUUCAUAUCCAGAUCCGUAGGGGCAUUUAAUCUGAACUGAUCUUCCUCUGUAUCCAGUUACUGUAGUUACAGCAUCAGAACCAGCUGGAGAAUAAUAUACGGUGGAAUGAAAUAUGAUCCAGGACGAUGGUGCAACAUAUAAAACCUGAACGAAGCUCAGUAUCCAGGAAUAUUAAAGUGUAAACAUUGGGACACGUGUAAGAGAAGAACCAGGACAAGGUGUGAAACAGGAACAAAUCAUGGCUGAACACUGCAAUGUUCUCCAAGAAACAGUACAGAGGUACUUAAUGAGAAUUAGAAUGAGGAAGAAUUUGACAGGAUUGUAGAUGAUCAUGAUGCUACUCUGAGAAACACCUUCACGUACUCAUGUAUCGUAAAGUUUUCUAACCUACAUGCUUUCCAUUUGAGUGUUGUAAAACCAGGAGACCAGCUAAGAGCCAAGGAAUAGGCCCUGGAGAGGAGUUUAUUGUUCCUGUCAUUAUCAUGAUUCCUGUGCAGCUCUGACCUCGACUCAAAGAAACCACACGGAUGAUUUAGGAAGGGGCAAAAGAAGGACAUGAGCAUGGAUCUAGUUUCGAACAGACCAUAUGAACCAGAUCCAAACACUUCGUGUAAACCUCCCUAUUUGGACAGUGUUUCUUUCUCAGGAUGGUGUCUGUAGUGAAAUAUCUUCUCCACAUCUCCUCUGUGAUAAAUCUCUUGACUCCAAGUGAAGACCGUCUGUAGGCAAACUGAUGUGAACCACAGCAAGUGUAUUUUAAACACUUCACCAAAGCAUCCAGCACUGCAUGUGUGUCUUUUCAAACAAAAUACACAGGACUGGUGUGAGUUUCUGGACUAGAUUAAAAAUGUGAUGGGGUUUUGUUGCUGGCAGUCAAAAUGAAAUGAAACCUGUCCGAGAUUCCAGAUAUCAUUAGAAUCUGUGCAACUAAGGUACAGUAUAUGCUUUUCUUUGUUUUUUUGUUGAUGUAUAGUAAAAUACCAUGGAGAUGCCAAAACAGUGUUUUGUAAAUAGGCUAAAGGUUAAAGACAUGAUUAAAGAAAAUAUCAUUUAGAUCACAAAACUUUUUUACAAACCACAAAUGACAAGGUGUUCAAAAGG